CAGGAAGGUGUCCUGGACACAGUGUGUUAUUCUUUAAAUCUUCCUCUCUGGAGUUUGUUUGCUCCAAAAGCCACGCUCACAUGCCAGCUCCAUAAGGGUUAACCUGAAGGUUGUGUACUUAUGUAAUUACUGGAACUGAAACAGCCCCACCAGGAAAGUGUUUUACAGCAGAAUACAUUUGACUUUGGCAUGGGAAAAUAAUACCAACAGCCACUUUUAGGCUCAUACUUCUGCAUCAUAUAACAGGAAGUGGUAUGUGCUGCUCUGACGAUACUGGUCUACCACACCAGUUCCUCUACAGAAGAGUCACAGCAGAGCAGGAAGCAUAGGCCUAGCAGCCCAUAUCCAGGUUCUCCCUCAGCUCUGCACAACAGUAAGGCAGCAAGACACGCCAGGCAGGGCUGAGAUGACAGCAGCAUUUGGGGUACACUGCUGAUGACAUCCCCUGCUGUGAUAGAAGCAGGGCACCGAGGCAGAACCGACUGCAAGGCGGCAGCAGAGCAGAGGAGGAAUGACCUAAGAUGAGGUAUGGUGUAAUUACAAUUAAUCCCUCCUGGCAUAGCCAUACUCUCCCCUUGACGUCACUGGCAGGAGUUCAGUUUGCAUCUAGAGCACAUUUCGCUGUACAAGCUGAAACACAGCUUUGGGACCAUGAACAGUGGCCAAGGUUGGACAACUGCACCGACAAACCCUCAUGGCACAGUAACAGAACCUCCUCCUACAGAGAAGGAGACCAUGUGAAGAAGGGAUGACGAGCUCUGAUCAUGGGACCAGAGGCUUCACUUGAACAGAGAACAUGUUUCAGCAAUUUGGACUUCUAACAAUUCGAUGGGUGGGAGCACUUCAGAGAGAAGAUACUGACAGGCCUGUUUAAGCAGGUGGACAGAGAGAAGCUGUGCAUUAAUGCUGAGGUGCCCAGCUAAUAGAACUCAGUCUUUUCAUAAGAGUAAAGAUAAGUAUAUAUAAACAGUUUAUUUGUUUUCUCUCCACAGAUCACUCCAGUUGGCUUCAGGCAAACAGAAGCCACAGCAUCCAAGCCCUAUCCAAGAGGAAGAAAUUGUUUGCAUCCUCCAGUUCUUGGUACAGAUUCACUGAGCUGAAUUUGUCCAAGAAGUAUUAUUGGAGAACUUGCCUGAACUUCCAGGGCACAUAUAGAGGUGGUCUUAGCCCACCAGUUCACUGAAAUGAACUAGUUCUGGAUGGCACAUAUUUUAUUUCUGCCUGUUGGCUUCCUUCCAGUCAGUCUCAAGGUGUUGGCCAGCUCAGAAAGGGGACCUCUUCAGCUGCUGAGAUCAAUACAGCCCUCAGUAAAGGAAGGAGUAGGAGGCGGAGGCUGCCCAACAUAACAGGUUAUAAUGGCAGUGGCUUGUUACCCUGGGAAUGCAACUGGGUGCUUUGCUGAGCAGAGGCAGCUCCAGGGUUUUGAUUGGUGAAACACCCUUCAGUUAGCAGCUUUGAACAGGACUCCCAGUAAAAAAUAGCAGGGAUGUCGUUGACGAGAAGGCUGAGGAUAACAUACAGGAGCUCCAGAGUGACCACACACAGCUGUCUGAAAUCCUGGAGUUGUUGAAAAAUUCUCUCUAAUCCAUCAGUGCAGAGCAGAAGUGCUACAUAAGCAGGAAUCUGAGUUUACAUUGCAGCAAAGAUAACUCAUUUACAUUUCCUGGAAUCUAGUAUUUGUGCAGAAUAUCCGUGUGGUUUCUCCACUGCAAUGUCACCUGUUAGUUCUACGGUUUCAGCCACAAUAGUUUCAUACAGCAGAAAUGUUUUUCCUGGCCACAAAAGAUUUGCCUUGCCCAGAUACCAAUCCCCUCAUAUAUUUAUCUUGAGGUCUUAAUGUGUCUGGCCCAAGGAAACAGAAAUAAAAAAAAAAGAGCAAAGAAUUAAAAACAAGCAGAGAGGACUGAAAAGGAAACUGGAAAACAAAGAUCUAAAGAAUGGAAAAGUGAACUAACAUCAAAGAUAUCAGAAGAAUAGCUCCAGCUGCAAGAAUAGGAAGGUGUGGUAUGUAAUUCUUGUUUACUUUGUAUACAAUAGAGGGGUACCAGCACAAUUCAGUGGAAGGCAUUAUUAUUGCUUGUGUGUAACACCACACCUGAAAUGGGGAGUUUCAACUUCACCAGGCCCAGCUCUUCCCCGAGGAAUCAUCUUCACCCGCCCCACUGAGCUCCCUUUGGUAGCUCCUAGUAGACUGGCAUUUUGGCAUCUCCCACAUCCUUUGCCAGUGUGUUCACCUGACUCCAGAAGGUGCGUGGAGAGAAGGGUCAGGCUCGCUGUUUUUAAAAUGCACUAAAGCAAACUCUGAGAAACGUUAACCCUAGGACAUUGACAUGGUUAUUUAAGAAAGAAAGGACUGGGCAUUAUGCUGCUAAAAUCUGUUUGUCAUGGGUUUAAGCCAACAUGUUUUCUUUGAAGUUUGGGCGGGUGCAUGACAUGGUCAGUUAUUGCAGCUCAACAGCUGGCAACUGGUUAAACUGCAGUAGAGCUGCCACUCUGCAUCAAGAGGUCCCAAACGGCAGUGCAGCCCAGACAGAUGGACCACACAGCCUUCAAGCUGCAGCACAGGCUCACAUUCAUAGAAUCACAGAAUGGUUUGGGUUGGAAGGGACCUUAAAGAUCAUCUUAUUCCAACCCCCCUGCCAUAAGCAGG